AGUGAACGCUGGCGGUAGGCCUAACACAUGCAAGUCGAACGGCAGCACAGUAAGAGCUUGCUCUUACGGGUGGCGAGUGGCGGACGGGUGAGGAAUACAUCGGAAUCUACUUUUUCGUGGGGGAUAACGUAGGGAAACUUACGCUAAUACCGCAUACGACCUACGGGUGAAAGCAGGGGAUCUUCGGACCUUGCGCGAUUGAAUGAGCCGAUGUCGGAUUAGCUAGUUGGCGGGGUAAAGGCCCACCAAGGCGACGAUCCGUAGCUGGUCUGAGAGGAUGAUCAGCCACACUGGAACUGAGACACGGUCCAGACGCCUACGGGAGGCAGCAGUGGGGAAUAUUGGACAAUGGGCGCAAGCCUGAUCCAGCCAUACCGCGUGGGUGAGGAAGGCCUUCGGGUUGUAAAGCCCUUUUGUUGGGAAAGAAAAGCAGCAGGUUAAUACCCCGCUGUUCUGACGGUACCCAAAGAAUAAGCACCGGCUAACUUCGUG
rnacentral:rRNA from 1 species